rnacentral:rRNA from 1 species
GUGCCAGCAGCCGCGGUAAUUCCAGCUCCAAUAGCGUAUAUUAAAGUUGUUGUGGUUAAAAAGCUCGUAGUUGAACCUUGGGCCUGGCUGGCCGGUCCGCCUCACCGCGUGCACUGGUCCGGCCGGGCCUUUCCCUCUGUGGAACCCCAUACCCUUCACUGGGCGUGGCGGGGAAACAGGACAUUUACUUUGAAAAAAUUAGAGUGCUCCAGGCAGGCCUAUGCUCGAAUACAUUAGCAUGGAAUAAUAAAAUAGGACGCGCGGUUCUAUUUUGUUGGUUUAUAGGACCGCCGUAAUGAUUAAUAGGGACAGUCGGGGGCAUCAGUAUUCAACUGUCAGAGGUGAAAUUCUUGGAUCAGUUGAAGACUAACUACUGCGAAAGCAUUUGCCAAGGAUGUUUUCAUUAAUCAGGAACGAAAGUUAGGGGAUCGAAGACGAUCAGAUACCGUCGUAGUCUUAACCAUAAACUAUGCCGACUAGGGAUCGGACGGUGUUAUUCAUGACCCGUUCGGCACCUUACGAGAAAUCAAAGUGCUGGGCUCCAGGGGGAGUAUGGUCGCAAGGCUGAAACUUAAAGAAAUUGACGGAAGGGCACCACCAGGGGUGGAGCCUGCGGCUUAAUUUGACUCAACACGGGGAAACUCACCAGGUCCAGACACAAUAAGGAUUGACAGAUUGAGAGCUCUUUCUUGAUUUUGUGGUGGUGGUGCAUGACCGUUCUUAGUGGUGGGGUGACUUGUCUGCUUAAUUGCGAUAACGAACGA